rnacentral:rRNA from 1 species
UGAUGGAUGGACCCGCGGUGCAUUAGCUAGUUGGUGAGGUAACGGCUCACCAAGGCCACGAUGCAUAGCCGACCUGAGAGGGUGAUCGGCCACAUUGGGACUGAGACACGGCCCAAACUCCUACGGGAGGCAGCAGUAGGGAAUCUUCGGCAAUGGACGAAAGUCUGACCGAGCAACGCCGCGUGAGUGAAGAAGGUUUUCGGAUCGUAAAACUCUGUUGUUAGAGAAGAACAAGGAUGAGAGUAACUGUUCAUCCCUUGACGGUAUCUAACCAGAAAGCCACGGCUAACUACGUGCCAGCAGCCGCGGUAAUACGUAGGUGGCAAGCGUUGUCCGGAUUUAUUGGGCGUAAAGCGAGCGCAGGCGGUUUCUUAAGUCUGAUGUGAAAGCCCCCGGCUCAACCGGGGAGGGUCAUUGGAAACUGGGAGACUUGAGUGCAGAAGAGGAGAGUGGAAUUCCAUGUGUAGCGGUGAAAUGCGUAGAUAUAUGGAGGAACACCAGUGGCGAAGGCGGCUCUCUGGUCUGUAACUGACGCUGAGGCUCGAAAGCGUGGGGAGCAAACAGGAUUAGAUACCCUGGUAGUCCACGCCGUAAACGAUGAGUGCUAAGUGUUGGAGGGUUUCCGCCCUUCAGUGCUGCAGCUAACGCAUUAAGCACUCCGCCUGGGGAGUACGACCGCAAGGUUGAAACUCAAAGGAAUUGACGGGGGCCCGCACAAGCGGUGGAGCAUGUGGUUUAAUUCGAAGCAACGCGAAGAACCUUACCAGGUCUUGACAUCCUUUGACCACUCUAGAGAUAGAGCUUCCCCUUCGGGGGCAAAGUGACAGGUGGUGCAUGGUUGUCGUCAGCUCGUGUCGUGAGAUGUUGGGUUAAGUCCCGCAACGAGCGCAACCCUUAUUGUUAGUUGCCAUCAUUCAGUUGGGCACUCUAGCAAGACUGCCGGUGACAAACCGGAGGAAGGUGGGGAUGACGUCAAAUCAUCAUGCCCCUUAUGACCUGGGCUACACACGUGCUACAAUGGGAAGUACAACGAGUCGCGAAGUCGCGAGGCUAAGCUAAUCUCUUAAAGCUUCUCUCAGUUCGGAUUGCAGGCUGCAACUCGCCUGCAUGAAGCCGGAAUCGCUAGUAAUCGCGGAUCAGCACGCCGCGGUGAAUACGUUCCCGGGCCUUGUACACACCGCCCGUCACACCACGAGAGUUUGUAACACCCGAAGUCGGUGAGGUAACCUUUUGGAGCCAGCCGCCUAAGGUGGGAUAGAUGAUUGGGGUGAAGUCGUAACAAGGUAGCCGUAUCGGAAGGUGCGGCUGGGUCACCU